GUCCUUUCUUAUUUCUCUUACGGGUGUAACAGUGAAGUCACAAGACUCCACAUUAAGUAUUCUUUUGAGAAUUCACCAGGAGACAAUUUGUUUUAAAAGAGACCAAAAUCAAUGAGUUUCUUCAGUAACUUCUGGACGUAAAUGUAUCUCUUUGAUUAAGGAAAAAUCCGACUGGUCUCAGGACAUUGUUCUUUGUUUUUUAAUCCAAAAUCCACAACUCUUUGAUUCUGUGAAAAUAUAGACUCAAAUUUCAAAGAAGUAACAAAGUGCAAGCUAAUAUUUCCAAAAGAAGGACUUGGAGCUGCUGAUACAUGACACACCAGCCACAUCUGAUAAAGAACUCGAAAGUUCUCCUCAAUGUCACUUAGUGAGCCAACACUGAUGGGAUAUUUCAUGAGGAUGAACAUCCAUAAAGAAACU
ensembl:lncRNA